rnacentral:rRNA from 1 species
CCUACGGGGGGCUGCAGUGGGGAAUAUUGGACAAUGGGCGCAAGCCUGAUCCAGCAAUGCCGCGUGUGUGAAGAAGGUCUUCGGAUUGUAAAGCACUUUCGAGGACGAUGCGGUACCGUAGAAGAAGCCCCGGCUAACUUCGUGCCAGCAGCCGCGGUAAUACGAAGGGGGCUAGCGUUGCUCGGAAUGACUGGGCGUAAAGGGCGCGUAGGCGGCUUACAUAGUCAGACGUGAAAUUCCUGGGCUCAACCUGGGGGCUGCGUUUGAUACGUGUAGGCUUGAGUUCGGAAGAGGGUCGUGGAAUUCCCAGUGUAGAGGUGAAAUUCGUAGAUAUUGGGAAGAACACCGGUGGCGAAGGCGGCGACCUGGUCCGAACUGACGCUGAGGCGCGAAAGCGUGGGGAGCAAACAGGAUUAGAUACCCUUGUAGUC